UCAGCACAGCAAGUGAUCGCUAGAAAUAGAGGAAAGUCCGAGCUGCUAUAAGACAGAGUUCCAUCUAACGGAUGGCUGGGGCAACCCAAGGGAAAGUGUAACAGAAAGCAGACUACCGAGAAUCGGAAAAGGUGAAACGGCGGGGUAAGAGCCCACCAACGAGCUUGGCAACAAGUGCGUUUAUAAACCCAACUCGCAGCAAGAAGGGGUGGUUUUAGUCUUAUAUUAAACCCUUCGCUCAAGCUUGUAUGCAAAUGCAAGAUUAGAUAAAUGAUCACUCACGACAGAACUCGGCUUAUCGCUGUGCUUUAUCA
rfam:Campylobacter mucosalis strain DSM 21682 contig00001, whole genome shotgun sequence.